rnacentral:tRNA from 1 species
GGCGCGGUACCCAAGUGGCUAAGGGAGCGGUCUGCAAAACCGCGAUUCGUCGGUUCGAAUCCGACCCGCGCCUCCA